CAUGCAAUACAAACCCUUUCAUUGCCAUUUCUUUUUCAAGUUUUAUUGCAAGAUCUUUUAAUUCUUAAAAAAAGACGUCGUGUAUCAUUUGACAUGUUCAAAAAGACAUGCUCAAUAAACAAAAUAUUCAAAACAGUCUAUGAUUGAAGGACUGUUCAUCAUGCAUGGAGCACAUGACAGCUAGAGAUCGCAGUAUUGGUAAAAAAGUUUUUUACAUAUGUCUAGGUAAUGAAAAUGAUCUUAGUGGAGUUGAACGUCCAUUCUCAAUACUUAUUGCUGAAGCUGGUCUUUGUUGCAAUUUUGCAUUGCCUGUAAUGUAAAAAGUAAUUAUUAUCAUUAAAGCUGAUUUAUUUCGAAAACCAAUUAAAAACAAAUAAACGUCAAGCAUAAGAAA